AUGCAGGGAUUUAGGUAUGAAGAGGAGAGCCACGACUAUGAUCCACAACAGUCUUAUUCAGCUCCUAUUCAUAUACCUCAGCACCAGGAGAUGUUGCCGAUGGAGUUAAAUAGUCCUCCAUUUGGUCAACCAACACCUCCAACACAAGUGCCCACACAAGAUGAGUUCGAUGACAUAGACAAGCUCACACUUUUGAGUCUCGAGUUCACUUGGAGUGCCGAGGAUGAUCCCAUUAGGAAGGUGAUACUUGAGGAAAUGAAGAAGAUUAAAAGUGGAAAGGAGCUAGUGGAAGAAGUAAGGAAGAUUGAGAAGAACAUCAAUGCUGGCAGUACUAUCUCUUCCCUCCUUGAGUUGGGUGUGGCGGAGAUUCCCCUUGAUACAUGUGAGGUUCCAAUACCGUCACAUCUAGCUGAGCAAGAUAGCAAGUGCUUUGAGCAAGAGAUACCUCAGAUUGAAGAAGAUGAACUAGAAGACAAGGAACAAGAUGAUCAAGAUCUGCAAUUCCCAAGUGAUCAAGUUGAAGACUCGUCAUCUACUACUCCUGAAGAAGUAAAAGAAGCUGAUGUAGAUGAAGAUGAAGAACCUGAGAUUCAUUGGCCUAUUUUCAUACAUGAGCGUGAUGUGUCAGGUUUUCCCAAUCCUCUUGAUGACAUGCUCCCUUAUGAUUUUGUUGCUUCCACCUUGCAUUACAUGAUACCAUCACUUAAGAUUGAUUUGAAAACUCAUUUGCUUGGAUAUGAUGAUAUAUACCCUGUUAGUGGCAUUACUCUCAUUUGUGAUGAUCAUAGUUACUUUCCUCGUGCUAGUCCUAUGCUUAAUGAAACAUAUCAUUCUUAUGCUAGUCUUGAGCUUAAUGAUAAAUGUCAUCCUCGUGUGAGUAUUGACCAUGCUGAUUUCUGCCAUCCUAAACAUGUGUUUUAUAGUUAUGCCUAUAUAAUUGGAUAUUCCAUUGAUGACUUGGAGGGCAUCGACCGUAUCACUUGUAGUUGUUUGUGUGAGUCCUAUUUCAGGCUUUUGCUUGUGCACGAAUCAAUACAUGCUGACCAAGUUCGAGAUGACAUCCCAUGGGAUCCUGGUGGACUCAGAGCAUGGGGAUGA
rnacentral:rRNA from 1 species